UCUCUCCCCAUCUCUUGUCGUCUUCAUCUCUCUCCCCUCUCCUCCCUCCUCUCGCUUGCAGAGAUAAGAAGCGGCGCGCGGGCGCCGGCCGGAGGGAGGAAAGGAGCGGGACGCAUGCGCAGGAGGCGGUCGGCGACCGGCAAGAAAGGAGUAGCAUCCUCCGCAAGGAGAAGGACGCACACCUCACCAUCGCGGCCCCUGCCACGUUUUCCAUUGUCCUCCGCGCCGCUCACCGACCUCGACGGCGUCCUCGCCAUGAGUGGUGGCGGGCGAGCUCCCGCUUCUCCCCACCUGCUUCCCCGCCGCCCCUGUCGAAGACGACGACGCCGAUGGUGAUGGGUUUGAGGAGGGCACCGGGCCACCGAUGCGUCGAUCGGGCGUCGGCAGCUCGGGAGCAGGGUGGUGGCGGCUCGCAGGGCCGCAUGGUGCAAGCGACGGCGGUGUCAAGGAGGGUGUCAGCGGCGCGUGGGGCCCCAGGGCGCAAGCGGUAGUUACUGGCGGCGGCGGCGCGGGAGCGGGGUGUCGGGAUGCAAGCAGCGCUGUGGAGGAGAGCGUCGUCGGCGUCGAGCGCCCUUGAUCUGGUCGGCCGCCAGCUUCCGGAAGUGAACGUGCCAAAAUGUUCACUCACAUCACACUGAUGCAUCAUGACAAACAAAUGUUCGCUCUACACACUUCCGAACCACCGGAUUUCGGCGGCGGCUGCUGCUGCGACGGAGUGCAGAUUCAUCACCCUGACAAGGCUUCUGCCGUCCUCGCCGUACCUGAUGAGGUGGCCGUACAUCCGCAGCCAGUGGUCGGAGGCCUCAUCGACGGUGCGGUAGGUCCAGAUGUGUGGUCUGAGCCAGAGGCAGUCAACGAGGUCACCUCACGCGCCUCGUCUUCCACGCUGAUAGCAGUUGCCGGGGGGGGGGGGGGGUCUUCGUCUAGUGCUCCAGCCGCGAGCGAGGCCGACGCAGCCACAACCGGCACACGACGCCAUCGAAGGUCCGUGACGUGCCUGUCGUCGGACCAAAUACCGGCGAUGCCGAGGCCGGGCAAGCACUCGACGAGGUCAGCCUCAGCUCCGUCACCGUUCCCGUCUCAGUGGUAGCAGCCGAAGCAGGUGGAGGGGCUGGAGAUCAUCGAGAUGGCCACCGGCGAGCGGCUGUCCCGCCUGCUUCGUGCGCCGCCGCUCCGGCCGCCGUCGCCCCACUCCGCCCGCCUCCCUAGUCCACAUCGUAGGAAAGAAGAGAGAGAUGAUAGCGGGAAGAAGGGAGCAGUGAGGAUGACAGGUGAGGCCCACAUGGGUCCCACUUAUUAUUAUUAUUAUUUGUGUGUGAAACA